rnacentral:lncRNA from 1 species
AGUAAUUCACAGUUCUGUAAGGACUACUUAUACACGUUGAUAGGACUCAUCCCUCAAAAUGAAGCUGCUUUAAAUUUUUCACCAGACAUGUCUUUAGUUUCAUAGGUUUCCCGGAAUUAGUGGCAAGUUUAGAAUUGGCAUGGAAAGGGGCCGCGCGAACGCAGGCCCCCACUGUCACAAAUUAUGACGUAGGCUCUCCCACUUGGGGAGACCUUAGGCAGGUGCAUCUCCUAAGUGCAAUGGAGACCAACUACCUAGGCCAUGAACAUUCUUGAUCGCCCAUUGACCCCGUCCAGGUAAGUAUGUUUGCUUGAUGCUAUUUGCUUUCUAUUUAUAUGCCAUGUUUAAUACUUUUCCGUUAUACUUAUUCCGUGUGGGAUACGAUUUUUAUAGCAAUGACACCGUCAUGGUAAGUCACUCUUGAAAUCGCGGUUUUUUUUUUGCUUAAUUACAAAUAGAAUCGCGGUUCUUAGCGCUUUUGCAGAUGUAACAAUACUAAAAUAUGUAAUCAAGUUUAAGGAAUUGACACUUAGCUUAGUGCACAAUAACAAGAACAGCUAUAUUUAUGUCCAUUUGAGAUCUCUUGCAUUUGAACACUGGCAAUUUGGUUAGUUAAUUCUGAGGAACUGGUGCUUAUCUUUGGUAAGUGAGUGAACUGGUUCUUGAAUUCAAUUAUUCUCUAAUAUUUAACUCUGGUACAGGUACCGGUUUCCUUUGUGUAUAUACUUGUCAUUCCCAGGAUGAAUAUGAUUUUGUUAACAUGAGGAAAUAAUGAUUUAGUUGAUCCUUUAAUCUUUCAUUGUUUAUGGGAUCGAUUCCAUUUGGUUUUGAAUUGUUUCCCACUCGAGAGCAAAGGAGAAGGUAACGAGUGGAUUUUAAAAUCCUGAUGCUAACAAACAGAAUCCUCGGUAGAUUUGUGCUUCUUGUCUGAACUCGGAAGCCAGAGUAAAGAAUACCGUGUGCAGGAUGAGAGAUAUGGAGCCGCGCAAUAAGCACACAGCGAACUAUUCUUUCGCCUUUUACUAAAGAAUACCGUGUGCUUGCUGCUUUGAGUUGGCAUACCAUAAUUUUUGGAAGGGCUCUUCUCUUGUUAGAGUUGAGCCUUUUAUCAAUUCAAUUUCUUUAAUCACUUAAGCGCAAAUUUUACUAUCUUUAUUUAUUCUGACAAAAUAUAAUAUUCUUCUGUCAUUAUGUCAAUUAUUUACUAAUAACAUAAUCAAAUUUAAUUAUAAAUUAAUCACUUAAUUAGAAUCUCAAUUGUAUAUAUAAUUAAUUUAUUAUUGCAAAUUUCUGGCUAAGAUUUUAAGUUCCGCUAAAUCUUAUAUUCUAGCUAAUUAACUUCACUUUUUAAAUAUUUGUAAAGCAACUAAUAAUAGUCAUCGCUCAACUUUACUAAAUUUAACAACACAUUUUAAUUUUCCAAAGAUACAUUCAUACAUACAAUAAAUCAUUUUUCUCAAAUUAAUACCAAUAUAUUUUUAAUCAACCAUCUUAAAAUUAUUAGGCUAAAGAAUUUACCCAGACUCGAGCUAAGGCAGUUGGCUCACCUCUGGCCGUCGAAGUCCGAUCGACAAUCCGAAUAUGUUUACGAAUUCAAAAUGAUGCAUAAAGAAUGAGUCCAACAUAUGAUUCUUCGAUCUAGUCCUCGAUCAAUCAUUGAUUUUUCAAUAGAGUAUAAUUGCCAUGAAAUUGGUGUCAUCAGAAAGUUUGUGAUGUGGGUGAUGAGGGGAGCCUGUCAUCGGAAAGCUCUAUCAUAAAUUUUAUGUUGACAAUUAACUAAUUAAAUAUAUUUUUUAUUUUAAUAGGGCGUGUAUGAAUAAUAAAUAUAAUCAAUUUUAUAAAAGGUAUAAUUUUAAUCAAUCAAAUAUUUAUAAAUUAAUUAAUUAGAAUAGCUUAUACUCAAUUUUUUUGUUACAAAAGUGGUUUUAUUAAUAUCAUUUAAAAUGGGGAUAAACUUACUUAUAGGAGAACCACCCAAGCCAAUAGGUUGACCAAAUACACCUCAGAGGACUCCUAACUCCUAAAAGUAAGUGAAAAGACCCCAGAAUACAGAUACAAGAAAACUAAAAGGAAAUAAGCCGAAGACAAAUAUGAGAUUAAAGCCACGCAACCCACUCCUCAGUAGUGAGGCCACCUCUUUUAGUUAAAUCAUAUGCUAUGUUGUUUGUUUCUCUUUAGACAUGAGAGAAAAUGAUAUAAGGCCAUAGAGUUGAAAUUAUAUUUUAUCUUAUGGAGAUGAUCCCAAAGCUUUCAAGGAGCAUUUUCAAUCUCACCUCUAACCCCUAUUGCCAUUUUUGAAUCAGACUAGAUGACAAGCACCACAAAAAGAAAAAACAGUGUUUAGCGAUGGACAGUGUCAUCGCCAAAAGUGUGGAUGGCGUUGCUAAAAGAGUUUAGUGACGGCUUAGUGAUCGACACAGUCCGCCGCUAAAGCGGGCAUCGUUGCCAUCGUAAUGACAUCAAACAAGUCUGUUGGUAUACACGGCGACGACAUUUGACGUAAGGCUACCAUUGUUAUUGGCGUAGGCAAAAUGGCGUUAUAUCUCUAAAUACUGACGGAUAAAAGUUGUCAAUAAACCGUCGGUAGGCUUAGACGUCGCUAAACUCUCGUGGUAAACUGUCGCUAACUCUUUUAUAUUUUAUUAUUAAAAUAUGAAUUUUCAUUGCAAAUCCGUCAUGAUUUAUUUAUUUAUAUUUUUUAAAUAUAUUAUUAACUGUUAUUGCUGACCCGUAUCAUUACAGUUGUUUAAUUCUUUUGUGACACAAUCAAUUGAAAGAAAUGGAGCCCUUUACGCCUAAAAUCUAAAUUACAAUAAAAUCAGAAAUGGUUUCCACUUCAAACAUUUUUUUCUUUUAAAAAAUAGAGCAGUCUGAUAUCCCAUUUUAGAACACUUAGGAUCAAAAUCUUAAAGGAUUUAUUUCUCCAUAAUUUUAAACACAUUCAGUUGAACCAUCAAAAAAUUAUUUUUCAGAAUAUCCUUCAUUGGUUAUGAGAGGCUUGGGUUGUUUAACUUGAGAGCAAUGCGGAUUUGUGUAGCUUGUCUAAACUCUGCCAGAGUGAAGAUUUUUAGAAGUACGAAAAGUUAAAAGGUAGAUUUGGUUGGGUUGCGCUAGCCUAUGCAGUAUUGCAAUGCAAAGGCGACCCAUGAGGAUUCCAAUAGCAAGCUGCUGUAGUGAAACCUCCCAUUAAAAAAUAAAUUUAAUAUCAUGUGGAUCAAUAAUCCACGUAUCAUAUAUUAAACUGAUAAGUACAGAUACUACACUUGAUCUUAGCCAAAAGGCCGAGAAAGAUAUGCUUUUCUCAAUACCUUCACUUUCCUUUUAUUAUCGCUUUCUCUCACAUUCUGUUAACUUUAUGAUUUUUGCAUUAGUUAUAUUUUGUCCUAGUCUUUAGGCAAAUAAAAUAUCAAUCCUUGUUUUAAGGCAAAUAAGGUAGUCAAUAAUCAGUUUAGAUUAUCUUGAUUUGUAGCAGAUUUUUCUGCAUUUUAAUUUCAAAAUCUUGUUGUAUAAAUAGUUGGCUUAGCUAUUCAAUGAACAAUAUGAUUUCUGCAAGUUCCUAAAAAUACUUUCAGUUCUAGCUUACCAACAAACUGGUAUCAUAACAAUAUCUUAAAGGACCUGUGAAAUUAAAUAUCCAAGAAAAAAAAAACAUAAAUACUCUUCAUCCACCUAUAUAAACACAAAACCACAACCAUUAAAAACAUGAAUACAUAAGCUUCAUUCACUGCAAUUGCUCCUCAAAUUUUUGACGGCACAAAUUAUCAAGGAUGGGCUGUUAGAAUGGAAGCCUAUUUUGAUGCUAUUGAUGUGUGGGAAGCUGUAGAACAGGAAUAUGAAAUUCCUCCCUUACCAAACAAUCCAACUAUGGCUCAGAUAAAAAAUUACAGAGAUCGGAAGCAGCAAAAAUCCAAAGCCAAAGCUAGCUUGUUUGCAGCAGUCUCAACUUCUAUUUUUAAUAGAAUAAUAACCAUGAGAACUGCCAAAGAGAUCUGGGAUUUCUUAAAGCAGGAGUAUGAAGGAGACGAAAGGGUCAGAGGUAUAAAAUCAUUAAAUUUAUGCAGAGAAUUUGAGUUGGAAAAGAUGAAAGAAUUAGAGACGAUCAAGGAAUAUUCUGAUAAACUGCUUGGCAUUGUCAACAACGUAAGACUCCUUGGCUUUGAUUUCUCUGAUUCUAGGAUUGUGCAAGAACCCCUUAUCACAAUUCCUGAAAGAUUUAAGACUACAAUAUCAUCUUUGGAAAAUAUGAAAGACCCGUCAACUAUCACCUUGGCAAAAUUGUUGAAUGCUUUGCAGGCGCAGGAACAAAGAAGACGCAUGAGACAAGGAGGAACAGUAGAGGGUGCUCUUCAAGCCAAAUUACAAAGCUACAAUGGUGGCAAGAGCAAGAAAAAGAUACAGAAUAAAAACAAGCAGCCUGGAGGUUCUACAUAUGACAAUAAAAAAAAAAAUAAUCCUCAAGUUUUCCAUGCUGUCCUUACUGUAAAAAGACCAAUCACCCACAAAAAAGGUGUUGGUGGAGGCCAGAUGUGAAAUGUAAUAAAUAUGGACAGUUAGGACAUAUGAAAAAAAUAUGCAGGUCUCCACAACAAGAAAGAGAAGCUAAUGCUGCUCAAAAUCCACAAGAUGGCUAGCAAAUAUUUGUGGCAUCCUGCUUCACCACCAGCAACUCAACCGAAAGCUGGUUUAUAGAUAGUGGUUGUACAAACCACAUGUCUUAUGAUCGUGAACUCUUCAAAGAGCUUCAUCCGAUUGCUGUCUCUAAAGUCAGAAUUGGAAAUGGGGCACAUAUCGGUGUAAAAGGCAAAGGAACAGUGCAAUUAAAGGUCACACAGGUUUGAAAUUUAUUUUUGAUGUCUUAUAUGUGCCUGAAAUUAAUCAAAACCUUUUGAGUGUUGCUCAACUGUUGGAAAAAUGAUAUAAGGUUUUGUUUGAAGAUAAAAAUUGCAUAAUCAAAGAUGCAAAAAGCAGAGACGUAUUCAAAGUCCAUAUGAAAGACAAAAGCUUUGCCUUAGACUUAAUGCAAGAAGAGCAGACUGCUAUACACAAAGAAGAUAACAAUGCUUUGCUUUGGCACAAAAGGUUGGGGCAUUUCCACCAUGCCGCUAUACUUUUUAUGAAGAAAAACAAUCUUGAAAAGGGCUUGCCUUAAUUGGAGAAGGAGCUACCUGCAUGUGAAAGUUGUCGAUACGAGAAACAAACAAGGCUCCCUUUUCCAUAAAAUAAGGCUUAGAGGGCUGUUCAAAAAUUACAAUUAGUACACACUAACGUAGGAGGACCCAUUAGAACACCAUCAUUGAAUGGUAGUAAGUACUAUAUUGCUUUCAUUGAUGAUCAUACAAUAAUUUGCUGGAUUUAUUUCAUGAAGUUGAAAUCUGAAGUUCCUGACAUUUUUUAAAAGUUUAAAGCUUUCGUGAAAACUCAAAGUGGUUACAAGAUGCAGGUGAUUAGAUCUGAUAAUGGAGCUGAAUAUACUUCCGAAAAAUUUAACAAAUUUUAUCAAGAUGCAGGCAUCGAGCAUCAGUUGACAGCACCUUAUAAUUCGCAAUAAAAUGGCGUGGUGGAGAGAAAAAAUAGAAUAAUUAUGGAGAUGGCAAGGUGCUUAAUUCAUGACAAAGGGCUAUCGAAGAAAUUUUGGGCAGAGGCGGUAAACACAGCGGUUUAUCUGCUGAAUAGACUUCCAACUAAAGCUUUGCAUAAAAGAACCCCAUUUGAAGCAUGGUAUGGCUACAAACCAGAAUUUGUUAAUUUGAAAGCUUUUGGUUGCUUGUGUUUCUCUUACAUUCAUCAAGUUAAGAGAGACAAAUUGGACAAAAAAAGCAGAACCUGAAAUUUUUGUAGGCUACAACUCAUCCUCAAAGGCCUACAAAAUCUACUUGCCACACCACAAUAAAGUUAUAAUCAGCAGAGUGAAACAAUUUCAUGAGUUAGAUAGCUGGAGCUGUGAUGCUAAAAAAAAGAUCGAGCUUCAUGAGGAAGAUGAUGACAUAGGUCAUGAACCUAUUAGAGGAACCCGAUCACUUUCUGACAUCUAUCAAAAGUGUAAUGUUGCUGUGAUGGAGCCUGCAGGGUAUGAAGAAGCAGCAGCUGAUAAAAAAUGGAUGGCUGCAAUAAAGAAGGAGCUUGGCAUGAUUGAAAAGGAUCAAACAUGGGAACCGCUGGACAGAUCAAAUCAUAAGAAAGCUAUAAGAGUGAAAUGGGUUUAUAUAACCAAACUCGUUCCUGAUGGUUCUGUAAACAAGUACAAGGCGAGGCUGGUUGUCAAGAGGUAUGCUCAAAUGUUUGGGGUAGAUUUUUCAGAGAUUUUUGCUCCGGUUGCUAGGAUGGAUACUGUACAGAUGCUAUUGGCCCUUGCUGCACAAAAAGGUUGGCUUGUACAUCAAAUGGAUAUCAAAUCAGCAUUUUUAAAUGGGUAUCUAGAGGAAGAAAUAUUUAUUGAACAACCACAAAGUUUUACUAUUCAAGGAGAAGAAGAGAAGGUGUAUCGGCUAAAAAAGGCCCUGUAUGGCUUAAAACAGGCGCCAAGGUCUUGGUAUAGCAGAAUUGAUACAUACAUGCUGGACUUAGGUUUUGAAAAAUACCUAAGUGAAUUUACUUUGUAUAUCAAAAAGAGUGGUGACGAAAUACUUGUGGUGUCUGUUUAUGUUGAUGACUUGCUUGUAAUAGGAAGUAGACUGGAGCUGAUUGGCAAGUUCAAAGAGGAGAUGAAAGAGGUCUUUGAAAUGACAGAUCUUGGAGAAAUGACAUUUUUUCUUGGUAUGCAGGUGCAACGAAAAAAAUAAUUGUGAGCCAGCAAAAAUAUGCAAAAGAAGUCCUCAAAAAAUUUAACAUGGAAGCAUGAAAGCUGGUUGCAACUCCAAUGAAUCAAAAGGAAAAGUUUUCAAAAGAAGAUGGAGCUAAAAAAGUUGAUAAUAAACUGUAUAGAAGUUUAAUUGGUUGUUUGAUGUACUUGACAACAACCAGAUCAGACAUCAUGCAUGCUGUGAGUUUGUUAUCAAGAUACAUGUACUGUGCUAGUGAAAUUCAUUUACAAGCAGCAAAAGAAUUCUGAGAUAUGUAAAAGGCACUAUUGAUUAUGGCAUAAAGUUCAGUCAAGUUGAAAAUUUCAGUCUCCAUGGUUAUUCGGAUAGCAAUUGGGCUGGAUGUGCUGAUGAUAUAUGUAGUACCUCAGGUUACUGUUUUAGUCUUGGUUCUAGAAUUUUUUCCUGGUGUUCGAAGAAACAAGAAAUUAUUGCACAAUCCACGGCAGAAGCAGAAUAUGCGGCAGCUAAUGCUGCUGCAAAUCAAGCAUUCUGGAUAAGAAAACUUUUGACAGAUUUGCAUAUAGAGCAAGAGGAAAUCACACAGAUAUUUGUGGACAACCAAGCUGCAAUAUCAAUAACUAACAACCCGGUGUUCCAUGGCAGAAGUGCAGCUGCUUUAUUGCAGUACAGAAAACCAAUAUGCUGACAUUUUCAUAAAGGCAUUGCUUACAGCCAGAUUUGAGUUCUUGAGGCAAAAGCUUAGAGUUUGCAGCUCCAACAUCGAGUGUUAACUUUAUGAUUUUUGAAGCUGCAUUAGUUAUAUUUUGUCCUAGUCUUUAGGCAAAUAAAAUAUCAAUUCUAGUUUUAAGGCAAAUAAGGUAGUCAAUAAUCAGUUUAGAUUAUCUUGAUUUGUAGCAGAUGUUUUUGGAUUUUAAUUUUAAAAUCUUGCUGUAUAAAUAGGGCUUAGCUAUUCAAUGAACAAUAUGAUUUCUGCAAGUUCUUAAAAAUACUUUCAGUUCUAGCUUACCAACACAUUCUUAUUUUGCCUCGUCGAUGUGGGCUGAAAUGUUACUGUUCCAAGACUGUAUAAACAUUGAAACAUUGGCUCUUUGUAGCAAUUGAAUUGUUGGUUUUUAAGAUUGUUAUGUUAAAAGAGAAUAUAUCCUGCCAAUAUGUUCAGCUUUGUUUCUACUGUGCGAAUUUGGAUAUUCCAUCCGUGUACAAAAGAAAAGAAAUUAAGGAAUGAUUCUUCUAACUGUCUGACUAAACAACACCUGUUGCAGUAAGAGUCUGCUAGUAAGAGUAUCAGCUAGAUUUUUGCAGGGCUGAGUAGCUCAACCCAGUAACAAGCUAUUGUAAAUUCAAUAUCAGUAGGAUCAGUAAUUCACAGUGCUGAAAGGACUACUUGUACACGUUGAUAGGACUCAUCACUCAAAAUGUCUGGCUUUAGUUUCAUAGGUUCCCCAGAGUUAGUGGCAAGCUUAGAAUUGGCAUGGAAAGGGGCCGCGCGAACGCAGGCCCCCACUAUCACAAAUUAUGACAUAGGCUCUCCCACUUGGGGAGACCUUAGGCAGGUGCAUCUCCUAAGUGCAAUGGAGACCAACUACCUAGGCCAUGAAACUUCUUGAUCGCCCAUUGACCCC